CUUCAAACUUGUCCUUUUAAUAAUUGAAUUAGUAGUUAUGGUUCAGUGGUUUGCUUAAACUGGAUAAAUGGGAUUUUGUGAAUGUAAUAAAGAACUUAUGGUUUUCUUUGAGAUGAAAACGAUUUUUCUACCCCUCGUGGUGGCGUAUUUUAAGAAAAAAGUUUCUGUGUGGGAAACGGUUUUAAAAAGGAUUUUUUGAUUUUCUUGGUUCCUAGUAUUUCAAAAUGAGUUUCCGGGUAGGAAAUGUUUUAAACUAAUAGUUGAAAUGAUGAAUAUCUGUGAUGAAUUGAAUGGUGAAUGUAUGUGAAUGUUCAUACUGUUAUGGUUGUAUCUUGUACUUGUGCGGCGCCGUGCAAAUACAGGGGAGACUCUGUCCGUGUGAACAGUGGACUCCCUAUAUUUGUGGAAGAUCUGGCAUACCCUAGGAGUCAAGAUUUAAAAAAAAAAAAAAAAUUGGGCACUUCCGC
rnacentral:lncRNA from 1 species